GAGAAACUCCCUCGCCAUCGGGUCACUAAUCUGCUCGGCUCCUCCCAGCGAUUCCCCGCGGUCCUCGCCGGCGGCGGCUCCUCCCAGCGAUUCCCCGUCGUCUUCGACGGCGGCGGCUAGGGACAGGGACUGAGCGUCUUGCGUCGUUCCUUCUGCCUGCUAGGACGAGCAGCGGAUCGAAUUAACCACAUGCCGUUCGCCGGAGCCAUAGCCAUCGCCAUCCUCUUGCUGGCCCCCUGUGCCGAGGCCACGUCGGGGGGCUUCACGAUCGAGCAGAUCUUGUCCGACAAGGGGUGCGGUGCCUUCGCCGGCCUCGUUGCCACCACGGCCAGCGUGGGCGAGGUGUUCCGUUCCUUUUUAGAGAAGGAGGUUGAGACCCCCGACGUGUUCGACGUGUUCGGUGAGAAGAGGGCCCGCAAUGCGGGGCUCACCAUUUUCUGCCCGGAAGACGAUGCGGUGGCGGGGUUCACUCCGAGAUUCAAGAAGCUCAGCGCUGACGCGCAGGUCGCACUUCUUCUGUAUCAUGGAGUGCCGUCGCGUCGCUCCGAGGAGGCGCUCAGGUUGAUCAACGGGGAGGAGGUGCCGACGCUUGAUAAGGGUCCCUUGCCGGGCUCCAGAAGCAUGCUCACCAUCGAUGUCUAUGAAGAUAUCGUGGUACUUUCUUCGCCGUUGCCGUCGCCGUCGGUUGCUGCUGUCACCGAGAUGGUCGUCGACCACGACCGCCUGGCUGUCUACAUCAUCAACGACGUGAUGAUUCCGAGAGAGCCAGAGAUUGGAUUCCCAGCCUUGCUUCUUUUCUUUGGGCUCCUGGCGUUGGCAGCGCUGGUGCUCGCGCAGGUAUUAUUGAUCUUCGGUGACGUCUGAGAAGAUCGUUUCGUGUCAAGAUUGCGCUACUACCUAUGUUGGGCGACAAGGACCUUAGUUCAUGACUGUUUCAUUUACAUCGGCUGGUCUAAUGUUAACAACUUCUACAUUAUCCUGCUCUGUUUCAUACUUGGUAUCGCUGCCUACCUUUACAAUGUGCUUAAGAAGUGAGUGAGGUGCAACUGUGUGCUCAUGUCGUGGUCGGUAGUGAUCUUGCAUUGGAUUCUCUACUUGUCAUGUCCUGCUGUGAUUGGUUUCAAGUAAUUCCUUUUGUCUCAUCUGUGUAAUAUCAUGGUGGUCUUAGAUUAUUAUGCUGGUUGAAGAAGUGAUGAUUAUAUGUGUGUUGACCUGAUUGAUGUCUGAUUGUAUGUAUAUUUCGAG
rnacentral:rRNA from 1 species